UACGAAGGGGGCUAGCGUUGUUCGGAAUUACUGGGCGUAAAGGGCGCGUAGGCGGUGUGUCAAGUCAGGCGUGAAAGCCCCGGGCUCAACCUGGGAACCGCGCUUGAGACUGGCACGCUCGAGUUCGGGAGAGGAUGGUGGAAUUCCCAGUGUAGAGGUGAAAUUCGUAGAUACUGGGAAGAACACCGAUGGCGAAGGCAGCCAUCUGGACCGACACUGACGCUGAGGCGCGAAAGCGUGGGGAGCAAACAGG
rnacentral:rRNA from 1 species